rnacentral:lncRNA from 1 species
CUGCACUCUGAUAUAUCUAGAUUUCGAAGAAAGGAAAAUCCUUCCAAAUCUGGAAUGGAACUUAAAUUAGGACAAUCACUUAACUUCAAUUCUUCAAGAGUAGUGGAGGUCCACAACCCAUCUCCAAUCUUGCUUAGUUUUCGACACGAGGAAAUGUGAAAUUUUUGAAGAGAUGAACAUGUUCCUCUUAUUGGAACAAUUUCCAGUUUGCUGCACUCUGAUAUAUAUAGAUUUCGAAGAAAGGAAAAUACUCCCAAAUCUGGAAUGGAACUUAAAUUAGGACAAUCACUUAACUUCAAUUCUUCAAGAUAAGUGGAGGUCGACAACCAGUCUCCUAUCUUGCUUAAGUUUUGACACGAGGAAAUGUGAAGCUUUUGAAGAGAUAAACAUCUUCCCCUUCCUGGAACAAUUUCCAGUUUGCUGCACUCUGAUAUAUCUAGAUUUCGAAGAAAGGAAAAUCCUUCCAAAUCUGGAAUGGAACUUAAAUUAGCACAGCCACAUAGCUUUAAUUCUAUAGGACAACUGGAGGUCAACAACCCGUCUCCUAUCUUGCUUAAGUUUUGACACGAGGAAAUGUGAAGCUUUUCAAGAGAUGAACAUCUUCCCCUUAUUGGAACAAUUUCCAGUUUGCUGCACUUUGAUAUAUCUAGAUUUCGAAGAAAGGAAAAUCCUUCCAAAUCUGGAAUGGAACUUAAAUUAGCACAGCCACGUAGCUUUAAUUCUUUAAGACAACUGGAGGUCGACAACCCGUCUCCUAUCUUGCUUAAGUUUUGACACGAGGAAAUGUGAAGCUUUUCAAGAGAUGAACAUCUUCCUCUAAUUGGAACAAUUUCCAGUUUGCUGCACUCUGAAAUAUCUAGAUUUCGAAGAAAGGAAAAUCCUUCCAAAUCUGGAAUGGAACUUAAAUUAGGACAAUCACUUAACUUCAAUUCUUCAAGAUUAGUGGAGGUCGACAACCCGUCUCCUAUCUUGCUUAAGUUUUGACACGAGGAAAUGUGAAGCUUUUCAAGAGAUGAACAUCUUCCUCUAAUUGGAACAAUUUCCAGUUUGCUGCACUCUGAAAUAUCUAGAUUUCGAAGAAAGGAAAAUCCUUCCAAAUCUGGAAUGGAACUUAAAUUAGGACAAUCACUUAACUUCAAUUCUUCAAGAUUAGUGGAGGUCGACAACCCAUCUCCAAUCUUGCUUAGUUUUCGACACGAGGAAAUGUGAAGCUUUUGAAGAGAUGAACAUCUUCCUCUUAUUGGAACAAUUUCCAGUUUGCUGCACUCUGAUAUAUCUAGAUUUCGAAGAAAGGAAAAUCCUUCCAAAUCUGGAAUGGAGCUUAAAUUAGCACAGCCACUUAGCUUUAAUUCUUUAAGACAAGUGGAG